rnacentral:rRNA from 1 species
CCUACGGGUGGCAGCAGUGAGGAAUAUUGGUCAAUGGCCGGAAGGCUGAACCAGCCAAGCCGCGUGAGGGAGGAAGGCGCAGAGCGUCGCAGACCUCUUUUGCCGGGGGACAAAAGGCCGGACUCGUCCGGUCCUGAGGGUACCCGGAGAAAAAGCAUCGGCUAACUCCGUGCCAGCAGCCGCGGUAAUACGGAGGAUGCGAGCGUUAUCCGGAUUUAUUGGGUUUAAAGGGUGCGUAGGCGGGCUUUUAAGUCAGCGGUAAAAAUUCGGGGCUCAACCCCGUCCGGCCGUUGAAACUGGGGGCCUUGAGUGGGCGAGAAGAAGGCGGAAUGCGUGGUGUAGCGGUGAAAUGCUUAGAUAUCACGAAGAACUCCGAUUGCGAAGGCAGCUUACUAAACUGCCACUGACAUUGAUGCUCGAAAGUGUGGGUAUCAAACAGGAUUAGAUACCCUUGUAGUC